rnacentral:rRNA from 2 species
UACGGAGGAUCCGAGCGUUAUCCGGAUUUAUUGGGUUUAAAGGGUGCGUAGGCGGGCUGAUAAGUCAGUGGUGAAAGUUUGCAGCUUAACUGUAAAAUUGCCAUUGAAACUGUUAGUCUUGAGUACAGUAGAGGUAGGCGGAAUGUGUAGUGUAGCGGUGAAAUGCAUAGAUAUUACACAGAACACCAAUUGCGUAGGCAGCUUACUGGAGUGUCACUGACGCUGAGGCACGAUAGCGUGGGGAUCAAACAGGAUUAGAUACCCUGGUAGUCCACGCCGUAAACGAUGAUUACUAACUGUUUGCGAUAUAAUGUAAGUGGUACAGAGAAAUCGUUAAGUAAUCCACCUGGGGAGUACGCCGGCAACGGUGAA